CUCGGCUCUCGCAUCGAUGAAGAACGUAGCGAAAUGCGAUACUUGGUGUGAAUUGCAGAAUCCCGUGAACCAUCGAGUCUUUGAACGCAAGUUGCGCCCGAAGCCGUUAGGCCGAGGGCACGUCUGCCUGGGCGUCACGCAUUGCGUCGCCCCCGUGCUCGACCG
rnacentral:rRNA from 1 species